rnacentral:rRNA from 1 species
GACGAACGCUGGCGGCGUGCUUAACACAUGCAAGUCGAACGGAAAGGCCCUGCUUUUGUGGGGUGCUCGAGUGGCGAACGGGUGAGUAACACGUGAGUAACCUGCCCUUGACUUUGGGAUAACUUCAGGAAACUGGGGCUAAUACCGGAUAGGAGCUCCUGCUGCAUGGUGGGGGUUGGAAAGUUUCGGCGGUUGGGGAUGGACUCGCGGCUUAUCAGCUUGUUGGUGGGGUAGUGGCUUACCAAGGCUUUGACGGGUAGCCGGCCUGAGAGGGUGACCGGCCACAUUGGGACUGAGGUACGGCCCAGACUCCUACGGGAGGAAGCAGUGGGGAAUAUUGCACGAUGGGCGGAAGCAUGAUGCAGCAACGCCGCGUGGGGGAUGACGGCCUUCGGGUUGUAACCCGCUUUCGCCUGUGACGAAGAGUGAGUGACGGUAAUGGGUAAAGAAGCACCGGCUAACUACGUG